rnacentral:misc_RNA from 1 species
AAAGAAAACAAUUAUCCGAGGGUAUUGAAGUUCAAAAACAAGUAAAAAGAAAUAUCUCAAACAUUGUUGAAAAAGAAUAACAUAUUACACUUAUAAGAAAAUAUAUAUUUCUAGGAUAAAAAGAAAAAUACUGGCAAGCAUUUACAAUUAAGUCAAGAAAGCUUAAAAACAUAAGAAAAGAUAAACAUGUGAAGAUAGAAAAAUAUUGAAGCUAAAUUUACAGCCUAACAUUUCUGUGUUCAGGUUUGAGUCAUUAGGAUGACAAGUAGUUAUAUUUCCAUCUAAGGUCCUUUUUCUAACAUCUGGGAACUGAAGCAUCAAUGGCAUUUACUAUCCUAAUUUAGGAUAAAAUAAAAGAUUUAUUUUUUUAAAUAAUAAUAAAUUAGGGCCUCUUUUUAAACAGGGCAGGCCUCAAGUGACUCUACCGAAGUAUAAAUGCAACAAGUGAGUACCUUGCUUGAUGCUCCUCAUGUGUCUUUGUUGUCUAACAAAUAAAUUCUAAAAUAUAAAAAUUACUUGAAUGUUUGGCUUUAUACUGCUCAAUAUAUCAAAUAGGAGUCUGGGAGAAAUGAGUACAGCAGAUGAUGCAGCCUAGAGUAAAUACCGUUGGGCCUGCCAGUAAAGAGGU